AUUGAACGCUGGCGGCAGGCUUAACACAUGCAAGUCGAGCGGAGAUGAGGUGCUUGCACCGUAUCUUAGCGGCGGACGGGUGAGUAAUGCUUAGGAAUCUGCCUAUUAGUGGGGGACAACAUUCCGAAAGGAAUGCUAAUACCGCAUACGCCCUACGGGGGAAAGCAGGGGAUCUUCGGACCUUGCGCUAAUAGAUGAGCCUAGGUCGGAUUAGCUAGUUGGUGGGGCAAAGGCCUACCAAGGCGACGAUCUGUAGCGGGUCUGAGAGGAUGAUCCGCCACACUGGGACUGAGACACGGCCCAGACUCCUACGGGAGGCAGCAGUGGGGAAUAUUGGACAAUGGGCGGAAGCCUGAUCCAGCCAUGCCGCGUGUGUGAAGAAGGCCUUUUGGUUGUAAAGCACUUUAAGCGAGGAGGAGGCUACCUGGAUUAAUACUCUAGGAUAGUGGACGUUACUCGCAGAAUAAGCACCGGCUAACUCUGUGCCAGCCGCCGCCGUAACAC
rnacentral:rRNA from 1 species